CCUGGCGGCAGUAGCGCGGUGGUCCCACCUGACCCCAUGCCGAACUCAGAAGUGAAACGCCGUAGCGCCGAUGGUAGUGUUGGGUCUCC
rnacentral:rRNA from 1 species